rnacentral:ncRNA from 1 species
ACAAAUACCAUGACGGGGAAAAAUUCGUCCUACAGACGCUUCAGAGAGUUGCCGGUCGCUGCGAGGCAAUGCAGAGCGGGAUGAUGUCACUGGCCCCUGAGUAGCUUCGCUGAGACAUUCGUUUAGGCGGAGCCGGAUCUCCUCACCGUUACCAACGAGGCGCAUUCGUUUGAUUUUCAAGCCGAUGCAGAAAGCGGGCAUAUUUUAUGCCAACAAGAGUGGUACCGCGGAAGUUUUGAGCUUUCGUCUCUUCA